rnacentral:rRNA from 1 species
UACGGAGGGUGCAAGCGUUAUCCGGAUUUACUGGGUUUAAAGGGUGCGUAGGUGGGUUGGUAAGUCAGUGGUGAAAUCUUCGAGCUUAACUCGGAAACUGCCAUUGAUACUAUCAAUCUUGAAUUAUCUGGAGGUAAGCGGAAUAUGUCAUGUAGCGAUGAAAUGCUUAGAUAUGACAUAGAACACCCAUUGCGAAGGCAGCUUACUACGGAUAUAUUGACACUGAGGCACGAAAGCGUGGGGAUCAAACAGG